rnacentral:rRNA from 1 species
UACGUAGGUGGCGAGCGUUGUCCGGAAUUACUGGGCGUAAAGGGUGCGUAGGCGGCUCUUUAAGUGGGAUGUGAAAUCCCUGGGCUCAACCCAGGAACUGCAUUCCAAACUGGAGAGCUAGGGUGCAGGAGAGGAAAGCGGAAUUCCCAGUGUAGCGGUGAAAUGCGUAGAGAUUGGGAGGAACACCAGUGGCGAAGGCGGCUUUCUGGACUAUAACUGACGCUGAGGCACGAAAGCGUGGGGAGCAAACAGG